UGAACCUGCGGAAGGAUCAUUACCGAGAUAGGGUUCCUUUUCGGGACUCGACCCUCCCACCCUUUGUGUAUAUACCUCUGUUGCUUCGGCGGGCCUCAGUGGCAUACGGUAGUGUUACACACUCCUGAGCCCCGACCCGCCAGAGGCCCACCCAAUUCCGACUGUAAUCAGUGAUGUCUGAGCACACUAAGCAAAAUAAAUUUAAAACUUUCAACAACGGAUCUCUUGGUUCUGGCAUCGAUGAAGAACGCAGCGAAAUGCGAUAAGUAAUGUGAAUUGCAGAAUUCAGUGAAUCAUCGAAUCUUUGAACGCACAUUGCGCCCUCUGGUAUUCCGGGGGGCAUGCCUGUUCGAGCGUCAUUACACCUCUCAAGCUUUGCUUGGUAUUGGGCUUUCGUCCCCCGGGGAUGGGCCUGAAAAUCAGUGGCAGUUCAGCCGGUGCUCAAGCGUAGUAACAUUUUAUCCCGCUUUGGAGUCACCGGGUGGACCCGCCAGACAACCCUAUUUAUAUUCUAUGGUUGACCUCGGAUCAGGUAGGGAUACCCGCUGAGUUAG
rnacentral:rRNA from 1 species